UGCAUGCGCCCAAAAUUAGACUAUUAAUUGUGAUGUCUAAUAUUAUAUAGAUGAUUAUUUAGAAAAUUAUAUAUGCUGUAAGUUAGUUAAAUAAGUAAACAGGCUAAUUUAGGUCUAUAUGUUAAAUUUUUUUAUUUCAAAUUUAGCAGUUUUUUUUUUUAAUUUUAAAGAAAUAUACCGUUUUUUGAAAGAGAAAGGAUAAGCACGCCCACUUUCCUCCAACGGUUAAAUUCCAACGGCUUUUUGAACAUUGACAGACAACGGUAAAAGAUUUAAAAAAAGGCUCAAUGGUUAUUUUUUUCACUCAAAUCGAAUCCUCUCAAUUCAUUCUAAUUUCUCAACUCUCUUAGUUCUCUCAAUUUUCUUAAGUUCUGAUCUAAAAUUUUCGAUAUGCUUGUUUAACAAUAUUAUUUUUUUGAUUAUUUGUAUUUUAUUCAUUUAGAUUAAGUUUUCACGAAUUGCAACCUCUCUAAUUUGUUUUGACGACAAACAUAUUUCUGUCGCUUAAGCGAUUAUGAUAAGGCGAAAUUUUAAAUUUCGUUAUUUUCAAUUAAGUUAAAUUUAAAUUUUUUAUUUUUAAAAAUAUUUUAAAUGAAUUUUUUUUGUCGAUAUAAAUGGGCGGAUGAUCGUGUUUUGGAGGAGUUCAUGCACAAUUUUCAAAGGGUCCAAUCACCAAAAUUCGUGGUUACUUGCAAGACGUGGAUUCUUGCAUGUCUCGUAUGCUUGGGGACUGUAAACUCAAUCAUACACUCAUCAGUUCGUUGAUCAUACACUCAUCAGUUCGUUGGUGGAAAGAUAGAGGCUUGAGACACCCACUUUUCAUCUUUCAUGCGGCGAGUGUAUCACAUUCGAAGACAUAGCUUUACACAUUGAUGGGCCAAUCAUCACAGGGUUAACGGUCGUUCCUGAUAAAAAGGACCUUUAUGUGACAUUUUUGGGGAAGGUCCCAAACAAGUUUCAAGGUGGCCGGAUAGCAAUGAAGUGGUUCAAAAUCAAUUUUAGAGAGCUUUCUCAGGACGCGAACGACAUUGUCAAAGAACAAUAUGCCCGAGCAUUUAUCAUGAGAUUAAUUGGUGGCAUUUUAAUGCAUGAUAGAUCUCGAAAUUUGGUGCACGUAAAGUGGCUUCUACACCUAGUCGACUUCAAAUAAUGCAGACGACUGAAUUGGGGAUUAGUCGUGUAGGCCACAUUGUACAGGGAGCUAUGUUGGGCGACGAAACCAGAUAAGAUGUCAAUCGGUGGUUGCCUGCUUCUGCUGCAGUCGUGGGCCUGAUGGCGAUUACCAUUUUUAUGUCCCCGAGUGAACGACUCAUACAUGGUCUCAUUGGUGACAAGUGGAACCAUGGGCCGAGUUAAGUGCGACUACCCGACCAGCCAGCUCGAAGAUAUCAAACUGUUGUUAAAUCAACGCUCGGAAGCCGAGAGUAUGUAGGACGCAAAGAUGCCGUUGAUAAUGUACGCAAUGAUAGAAAUGCACAAAUCGAAUCGAGUGAUGCAACAGUUUAGGUGGAGGCAACAAAUUCUGUUGCCAACGUGAAACAUUGAUGAAUUGCACGAAGUGGACUAGUAGGGGAGGAAUGUCAAGAAUUGACGAAAUAUUCACAAAUAAUACAUCAACGCUUGAGAUCGUAAGAUGGAAAUCUUACCUAUUCGUGAACCAUUUUUCUUAGCGGGCAUGAUGGACUGUUUGGAGUACAUGUCGUGGUUCAGACUCGCGAAAAAGCCAUAUUUGCUAUUUGUUGAGGCGAGGAGUAGACAACUUCGUCAAAAGAGGAAACAACGACCGUCCUAGCAGUGUAGGUUCAGACGCGGUCGCACGUCGAGUUCAUCAUCAGCUCCAACUGAACAAGUGUUACCUAUGCCUACGCCACAUCUCGAUUAAUUCACUUCACUUAUUCCUGUUUAUUUCACUAACCCCAUGUUUUUUUCACAAUCACCACACUACGCACAGUCGUAUAUUUUGGGGCACCGACAUUCCCCGCAUUUUACACCAUCAUGACGAUGUCGAUGAUGGCACAAAUACUGAGUCAGAUACCGACGCAUGUCCCAUCACCAAUAACGAUGUCGAUGUCGACAUCAAUCUAGUUAUCGAUGCCAGUGACGAUGUCUAAGUCAAUACCGAUAUAUUCAUGUUUUGCGACACCUUAUGGUUACACGUUGGUAGUGUCACAAAUACCCACUGCUUCAUUAUUUUAUCAGGAUGUGUCAUUGGCGACACAAUAUUCUCGUAAAGUGGAAGACAUAAGAUGAGAGGCUAGGACGACAUCGCACUCGAGUAUGAAGUAAAUGUGAUGAAGACGAAGACAAAAUUGAGGGUGGAGAUGAAGAUGGAGACGAUAGUGGAGAUCAAGAUGAAGACGACGGUGGAGAUCAAGAUGAAGAUGAUGGUGGGGAUGAAGAUGAGUACAUGGAUGGAGGUGAAGAUGAAGAUGAAGAAGAUGAUGGUCAUGAUCCAGUGUAGAAGCUUGCACCACUAGUUGUGCGUAGAAAUAUUACGCGUAUCCGUUAACCACCUUUGUGAAGUACACAUUUGGCCCGACGAUGUCGAUGUAUUUUUUAUUUACUUAUUGUGAUGUAAAUAUUAAUGACAUCAAUAAAGAAACAAAAUAUUUUUGGUA